AUAGCUAAAGUCAAACACUAUUUGAGUAACAUUAAUGGUAAUCAAAGAAAAAAAUCCUUAAGAAUGAAUUUUCUAGAAUUAACCAGCCUUUUCCUCGAAACGGUUUUUCAAUCAUAAAAAAGGUCAAUGAUCGUUAUAUACUUAUUUCUAUGGCGUUUUAAAAAGCGCAAAGACUAACGUCAAAAAAUGAAAUUUACUAUUUGUACGUCAACGCGGUAUUACAAUUCGUGUCCUAAAGCCUUCAAAAUUAUUACAACCGAACGUUCCUUCUAGAAUAUUUAUGAAUAAAACAGUAUACGUAUAAUGGCUAAAAUAAAUAAUACAUUCAACACGGGGGAGAUCGUUUUGUCUGCAAUCAAGAAACUCAUGAAAAACACUGGCUGGACAACUCGUACCAUCAUUAAGUUUAUUAAAUUAGAAUACAGUAUCUCUGACCCCAAGAUAAAUCGAAAGGUAUCCAGGACAUUGAAACGUGGUGUCAGGCUCGGCUUGCUUCAAAUGGAACGAGGCCGCUAUAGACUGAACGAAAUGUCAUGUCUAGCGAGAAAAGUUAAUUCACAUGAGGCUAGGAAGCGCUACCGACCCAAGCUACGUGCGAAAACAUUGCGCAUAAAAUGUAGCCGAUCGUUUUCAGGGCAGCCACGACAGGAUUAUAUAAAUUGAAUUAAAUUGUUGCCAUUUAAUAAAA